ACACUCCUGCGGGAGGCAGCAGUGGGGAAUUUUGGACAAUGGGCGAAAGCCUGAUCCAGCAAUGCCGCGUGAGUGAAGAAGGCCUUCGGGUUGUAAAGCUCUUUUGUCAGGGAAGAAACGGUGAGAGCUAAUAUCUCUUGCUAAUGACGGUACCUGAAGAAUAAGCACCGGCUAACUACGUGCCAGCAGCCGCGGUAAUACGUAGGGUGCAAGCGUUAAUCGGAAUUACUGGGCGUAAAGCGUGCGCAGGCGGUUUUGUAAGUCUGAUGUGAAAUCCCCGGGCUCAACCUGGGAAUUGCAUUGGAGACUGCAAGGCUAGAAUCUGGCAGAGGGGGGUAGAAUUCCACGUGUAGCAGUGAAAUGCGUAGAUAUGUGGAGGAACACCGAUGGCGAAGGCAGCCCCCUGGGUCAAGAUUGACGCUCAUGCACGAAAGCGUGGGGAGCAAACAGGAUUAGAAACCCGGGUAGUCCCA
rnacentral:rRNA from 1 species